UCCAACUCUGUACUUUCUGUAGAUAUUUAUAUUUGUUUUACUUCCUUUUACCUCACUUUAACUCCUCACAACUUUAGAUAAGUUUGUGUUUUCUGUAUCCACAUCUUUAUUUUAUACUAGUUGAAGGAACAGUCUGUACCUUGGUUAAAUCUCUUUUCAAUUUCUUUACAACUAAAUUCCCUUUCCCUGCACUAAAUAGGGUGAUUUACAUUUCACUGCUUUGCUAUGUAGCUUUUAUGUGCUCUUUGUAUUGUAUCAUGCUUGUCUCUUAUCUUAGCACUUUAUCUACUUAGAAAGAAUGCACAACCACUGGAUCAUUUGUCUCAAUGGAAAGCAUGCCUGCAUAAUGAAAUUCAACAAUGAAUGAAGCUGAUAUUGCUUCCUACAACUAAUCCUUCAAAGAUCUUCAGGAUGACUCUUGCCUCCAGCUAUUUUUACUCAUUCCUAAGUCACUGUGUGAUCAUGAGAUGUAAACUGUUUGUUGUGUGAAGACUGGUUAAGACAUGUCCAGAAGACAGAAAACUUUCAGAUAGGCCCAGACUGUGCUGUGGAAUCCAGAUCUCCAGGUGUGUUCUCCUCCAUAUAUGGUGGUGAUUCAAGUGUACUUAGCGAAAACAAGCCCUGACAGAUAAAAGGGCAAGGCAAUGAAUAUUACCAAGAGCACGGUUUGUGUUGUACAAGCUAUGCAAAAAAAUAAAAAAUAACCUGAUCUAUAAAUCUUUCACUUAUUCCUCAGUGACCAGAAAUACAGAUAAGAAAAAGCAGCCAACUAUAAAGUACAAAUAUUCGAUUCACUUUUAUCAUAUGUAUCUUUGUCUUAAUUUCUUGCAAACUAUUAAACUUGUGGGAUAGAAAAGACAAAGCAAUUAAAUAUUUAUUUCUUAUAUAACAUCAACCUGUUCUGUAGUGCUGCACAAAGCCAUCACUAACAUCAUUCCCUGUCCCUAAUCCCAUCCGUCCCCUGUUUCCACACAGCCUACAUUUUUCAAUCUUAAACAAACAGAUUUGAGAACAUUUACUAAUAGUUUUAGUUUAAGUUUACUGUUAAACUGGGAGUAUGACCACACGGUGCAGAUUUUCCACAGUGGAAUUUGCACUACAAAUUUUGCAGUGAUCCCACAGUGGAUUUGUUGAAUAUUUGACCCUAAUCUUGCAAAGAUAAUGUUAUCCAAUUUCCUGAGACUGUAAAACCCUUGGUGACAAAUCCACUGCAAUUCUAAAGAUGCACCAGAUUUAUCAAAGGGAUUAAUGCUGAUCAUACAUUUAGUGCAUCUUUAAAUCCCUUUUACCCAACUUUGCACCAUCUAUUGGUGUAACAUUUUUGCACAAUUUUGUUACCAGUUUCCUGCUAAACUACAGCCUCUAGUUACGUAAUGCACAAAAAGUGUCUAAAUCACAUAAUAAAUGUGAUACAAUCAUGUAUUCUAGAUUUUUUUGUGAUUGUUUUCUAGAUUGUUAGUAAGACACACCCCUUAUUGCUGUGAUUGGCUUUUAAGAUCUGUAUAAUCUUUUACUACUGUUACGUAUACAAAUCAUUGUUCAUAUGACUAGCGAAUGCAUGUAAGUGCAUACACUGUAUAAGGCAAGACAAGCCCUACCUUCUUGCUAUGGAAGUAAAAAAUUUAGAGUUUUCCAUAGCAAGAGGCUCAAGAGUCCUAACUAUCAAGACCCGGUAUGUCAAUAAUUAACCCCUUCCAGGCUUUGUAUAUAGGAUACCCUGGUUGCCAUUUCCUAUUAAUAAUAUUACUAUGUGCUAUGUGUUCUUUUUCCUAAUUUUAUGACAACAGAUCAGUUCAUCGAUUUAGUGAAUAAUCCACAUGUUCUGCUGUCCUUCAUUCCACCGGAGUCUGUCUCAUACAUAAUCAGAUUUCAGUGGGGUGAAGCACAACAGGCAUGUAACAAUGUCUGCACAAUCUACAAUGAAAGCUGAUCCAAGACUGAAAAAAAAUAUUUAUUUCAUCAACCACUGGAUUAAAUUGUACAGGAAAAAAGCUAAGAAGCAAGCAUACCUGUACAUACAAUGUUUGUGACAUUUUCUUCACUAUGAUGGGGCAAUUGGAAGGUAAUAAAUGGAAUCUGGAAUCUUUCUAUUCAAUAAAGUCACUUAUUGAAGUCCA